rnacentral:lncRNA from 1 species
CAAGGUCAUGCUGUCCACAGUUCAUUAUGUAGAAUAUGUUGUUCCAACAGCUGUGACAGACCUCUUUUCCUACUGUACUGGUACACAGGCUCAUUUGUUGGCUUCAUUACUUGGGCAGAUGUUUUUCUGAAGGUUUUGUUUCUCUGGUAGUCCUUUCCUGCAGUCAAUGACCAAAAGCGACAUCUUUGGCUUCAUGGGUGGAAUGUUAUUCAUAUUUUUCAUAAUUUCAUAAUUCAUAAAGAUUAUUUUUGUUAAAUAAACAGAUGAAAAUCCGGUGUUUUUAUGUCAAACAGUUUGUAUAUAAAGUGUAAUAUUGGGAUGCAAACUCAAGAUGGAAUACAUUUCAUCUCUAUCUGACUUGGUACAUGCGUCUUCUUUUUUAAGCCCAUAACCAUGUGUGUGAGGUGGAUACUUUUGUUUCCAAGUGGAUUUGUUUAAGACUACCAAGAAUCCCUCUGUGACCCUGAUUUAGCCCACUGCAGUAAAAGAAUCCCAUAUCAGAAGCAUGCAUCUUCCCCCGUCCUGGCAGUUAAUAUGUGCGGUACAUUCCCAAACGAGGCCAUAGGGACUCCGUAAAGGCUUAGAGAUCAGACCUGGCUUCAAAUACUACUGGAAAUCAUUUGAAAUACUUUAUCUGGACUUUAUUGAGCUUGCCUGUUGCAAUGGAACCAAUAGACAACUCCCAAACCCAGCCCACCUGACACUCUGGGCAAACUAUCUGAAAAUAUUUGAAAGAUUUGAAAUAAUAUUUGAACCCAGAUAGCACCCUGGGAUGCUGCUGGCACGGAGCCUUUCAAUCAAGCCUGCAAGCCUCCUGAGGUAAAACAUCAGUCACUACCAGAAAACUCUCCUCCCUCGUAAAACUGAGGAACGGCCUUCGCCACAGGGACACCGGCAGCCUGCACAGACAAUUUUUACAUAUUCAUUUAUGUCCUGAAGAGUUAUAAUUGAGCGAAGAGGGUGGGUCCGGUGUGUUUGGGGAAAUAUUAAACGGGCCCAUCGGUUGUAGUUUGUGGGUCUUUCAUCACCUUUUAUGGAGGUGCUCUGAACAGGCCAUGUUUAUGUUGCCUUCACAGGUAGAGGGAUUGGAGCCGUGUUCGCAUAAAAGGUAAAAUGAUGGGUGUAAUAGUGUUGCCAUGGAGAGAGCAGAGAAGUGGAGUAACAGCGUGAGUGAUUGACAGCCCUUCAGCACUGGAUUCACUUAUUUUCUCUUAAUGAAUGAUGGAUGUGAGGGGGCAGCUGCCCUGCUCCACAGACUCCAAAGGUGACCUUGACUGAUCAGAAGAAAAGUUUGAAAGAUGAUUCAUCGAUUCAUCCCAAAGACUAAACUGUUGACAAAAAUGGUUGCCGAUGUCACUGUGUUACUCAAACUACAUGCAUUGUAUGCCAUCGCCUUGUAGAUGCUACUAGCUGUUCUUGAAUAUGUACCAUCUUUGGUUUUAGAGACGCACUGGCAUUUUCUGAACGGGUAACUCUUUAUUGGAAGCAUAGUGCCAUAACAACUCAUAACUCGGUCAUAACCAUUAUCUCAUUACCCCAUUAUCUCUAUUUCUACUUUGCACUUUCUUCUACUACAAAUCUACCAUUCCAGUGUUUUACUUGCUAUAUUGUAUUUACUUUGCCACCAUGGACUUUUUUUUGCCUUUACCUCCCUUAUCUCACCUCAUUUGCUCACAUUGUACAUAGACUUAUUUUUCUACUGUAUAUUUGUUUUACUCCAUGUGUAACUCUGUGUUGUUGUAUGUUGUCGAACUGCUUUAUCUUGGCC